ACCAUGUCCUUGCGCGGCGGGGGGGAAGCUCCUGGUUCUCGGCGCGGUGCGGACCCAGGCCAGCGUCGAGGUCUGCCCUACGCGAACUCAGCCGACUGAAAGAGGGAAGGGGAGAUGGUUUCUUCGUUCCAAGAGCUACAUCCGGUUAUUUCAGCUGUUCCCUCAGCCUGGCCGCUUGAACUCCCCUGCAGAGAUUGGUACGGCCCGACAGCUAGAACGUGGGCAGGGAAACUGAGCACGUGCGGAACCCGCCAAGGGCGUGCGGGGAAGUAUGUUCUUAUUUUGGCAGUGCCUCCCUUUGGCUGCAGAUGCAGAGGUCUCGUCUGGGGUAAGGGAUAUCGAAAUUAUGUUAGGCCUGAACUCCUAAACCACCCCAAACGCCUCUGCCUUUCCAUUUAUCGGAAAACUUCACAGAGCAUCUGUACAUACUGCUGGGUGCUGGGGACCCAGCAGGUGAGGGGAGAAGAAUGAGGAGUCACAGCCACAGGGCAGCUUGUUACUAAUACCUCUGGUUUCAAUUUCUACAUCAUGAAAUGGAGGCUCCUAUCUUGCUGACUUGAGUAUUUGAAGAUCCAAUGAAAUCCUAAAGUGGUGUUACCACUUUGCAAUGAAAAGUAAGAUCUCAUUAUUUUAAUGAUAAUAAAUGGCAAGACUUCAAGGUAAACAAGUCCCACUUGAAACAUUCAGAUCCCAAGUUCAUCUGUUUCAGCACAUUUUUCCUGUGUACCUCCUCUGGGCCAAGUGCUGAUUAGGACACAGAGGAAUCAGACCUAGUUCCUGCCUUCAUGAGACCCAUCAAGAGAUGACAUUUCAAAGUCAGUGUCACAGGAUGCACCAGGCUCUGGUGCAAGGUAUCAUGGAAGGCUACACCCAAUUCUGUCCUUCCUUCCUGUGCUAUCACUGCAGUGUUGGUCUCUCCUGGGCCAGGAGCAUCCAAAGGACAGGAACUUCUCACUCUCUUCAUGGCACUCAGUUCACAUGGACUAACCAACAAAUGAGAAUAGUAAUCAUAGAGGACGGGGGAAUGGUAAAUUGGAAGGUCAAGAGGAGGUGACAUGGGGCUGAAGAUGUGGCUCAGCGGUAGCGCGCUCGCCUGGCAUGCGUGCGGCCCGGGUUCGAUCCUCAGCACCACAUACCAACAAAGAU